CCCAUCUCAGAGUGAGUUCCUUCAGAAGGAUUUUGGCAGCUUCAGACACCCUCUCCAUUCAGGAUACAAUAGCACCUAUGAGAAAAUCAAGGUGGUGGCAACAGGAUGUUUCUUGUACUCAAAGCAAUGAAACACGACUGUAAAGGAACAGCACUGAAAAGAAAUAAUGGAGCUCUGCGUGGUGAAAAAGAGAGGAAGAAAUCUCACAGCGGAAACACUCCAGAGGAGCAGGGAGCGAGUUACUGGAAGAAAAAUACUGGGUCAGAAGAACACUGUUUCACUCAAAGGCGGUGGCAUUAGGCCAUGGUGAUUUGAUUACAAGCAGGUAUCUGAGUUUCUGUUUGUGUAUUUUCACGUAUGUGUUGGGGCUGUGUGUUGUUGAGGAAGAACGGGG